rnacentral:tRNA from 1 species
GCGUCAAUAGCUUAACGGUUAAAGCGUCUCACAAUCCAGUGAGAAGAUGGAGUUCGAAUCUACCUUGACGCUCAA